AGCCUUCUGUUUCCGUGCUGAGAUUUUGUCAGACACAAUCCUAUUAGGGCUGAUCAAACUUCCAAGAUAGGUGAAGUU
rnacentral:pre_miRNA from 1 species